rnacentral:rRNA from 1 species
UGAGGAAUAUUGGUCAAUGGGCGAGAGCCUGAACCAGCCUAGUAGCGUGCAGGAUGACGGCCCUAUGGGUUGUAAACUGCUUUUAUAUGGGAAUAAAGUGAGGGACGUGUCCCUUAUUGCAUGUACCAUACGAAUAAGGACCGGCUAAUUCCGUGCCAGCAGCCGCGGUAAUACGGAAGGUCCAGGCGUUAUCCGGAUUUAUUGGGUUUAAAGGGAGCGUAGGCUGUUUGUUAAGCGUGUUGUGAAAUGUAGGAGCUCAACUUUUAGAUUGCAGCGCGAACUGGCAGACUUGAGUGCGCACAACGUAGGCGGAAUUCAUGGUGUAGCGGUGAAAUGCUUAGAUAUCAUGACGAACUCCGAUUGCGAAGGCAGCUUACGGGAGCGCAACUGACGCUAAAGCUCGAAAGUGCGGGUAUCAAACAGG